GAUGAACGCUGGCGGCGUGCCUAAUACAUGCAAGUCGAGCGAACAGACGAGGAGCUUGCUCCUCUGACGUUAGCGGCGGACGGGUGAGUAACACGUGGAUAACCUACCUAUAAGACUGGGAUAACUUCGGGAAACCGGAGCUAAUACCGGAUAAUAUAUUGAACCGCAUGGUUCAAUAGUGAAAGACGGUUUUGCUGUCACUUAUAGAUGGAUCCGCGCCGCAUUAGCUAGUUGGUAAGGUAACGGCUUACCAAGGCGACGAUGCGUAGCCGACCUGAGAGGGUGAUCGGCCACACUGGAACUGAGACACGGUCCAGACUCCUACGGGAGGCAGCAGUAGGGAAUCUUCCGCAAUGGGCGAAAGCCUGACGGAGCAACGCCGCGUGAGUGAUGAAGGGCUUCGGAUCGGAAAACUCUGUUAUUAGGGAAGAACAAAUUUGUAAGUAACUAUGCACGUCUUGACGGUACCUAAUCAGAAAGCCACGGCUAACUACGUG
rnacentral:rRNA from 1 species